UUGAAUGGUUCCUACUCUCUCCAAGUCCAUUCGACGUUUUAUUUUUUGCAGAUAUCGCUGACGACGUCUACGAGAUUCUCCAUGGAAGGGUAUGGGCCGGUCACAAUAUAUUGAGGGUUUGAUAUACCAAGGAUAAGAGAAGCGUUUGCAGAGAUUGGACGUGAUCCACCAGAGCCAAAAGGCACCAUUGACUCGUUGGUGUUUCUUACUCAAAAGAUUGGGAGGAGAGCUGGUGAUAUGAACUUGGUUUUAUUCUGCAACCUCAAAGAACAAGCUUGUGAUUGUGAUGUUGUGUGUAACAUAACAAUGGUGUAAAUGUAUGUAGAUGGUAUUGCUGCACAUUGAAGACUGUCCUGAUAAAGAGCCUCUUCGCCAUGGGUUCUAUGCAGGCUCCACUAUGGCCACAAGGAUAACAAUACCAAAUUUCAUCACCAAGUUUAUCUGUUAUAUUUUGCAAUGAGUUUAUUAUUUGCAAUUUGGUUUUCGGUGUCCCAAGAAUACUAACUAUGAUAGUGAUACCCAUUUACAGAUUUUAUUUAUUUA